CAGUCGCCGCGGGAAUACGAAGGGUGCAAGCGUUACUCGGAAUUACUGGGCGUAAAGCGUGCGUAGGUGGUGGUUUAAGUCCGUUGUGAAAGCCCUGGGCUCAACCUGGGAAUUGCAGUGGAUACUGGGUCACUAGAGUGUGGUAGAGGAUAGUGGAAUUUCCGGUGUAGCGGUGAAAUGCGUAGAGAUCUGGAGGAAUACCGAUGGCGAAGGCAGCCAUCUGGCCUAAUACUGACGCUGAGGUACGAAAGCAUGGGGAGCAAACAGGAUUAGAUACCCGUGUAGUCCUGUCUCUUAUACA
rnacentral:rRNA from 1 species